rnacentral:misc_RNA from 1 species
GAUGAAGAACGCAGCGAAAUGCGAUACUUGGUGUGAAUUGCAGAAUCCCGUGAACCAUCGAGUCUUUGAACGCAAGUUGCGCCCGAAGCCACUAGGCCGAGGGCACGCCUGCCUGGGCGUCACACGCCGUUGCCCCCCCAUCUACUCCUUCGGGAUUGCGGGGGGGCGGAUGAUGGCCUCCCGUGCGCCUAGCCGCGCGGUUGGCAUAAAUACCAAGUCCUCGGCGACGCACGCCACGACAAUCGGUGGUUGCGAAACCUCGGUUGCCCGUCGUGUGCGGUCGUCGCGCAUCGAGGGCUCGAAAAAAUUGCCGGGCUCCGGCUCGGCUUUCAACGCGACCCCAGGUCAGGCGGGGUUACCCGCUGAAUUUAAGCAUAUCAAUAAGCGGAGGA